AAUGAACGCUAGCGGCAGGCCUAACACAUGCAAGUCGAGGGGUAGAGGGAGCUUGCUUCCUUGAGACCGGCGCACGGGUGCGUAACGCGUAUGCAAUCUACCUUUUACAGAGGGAUAGCCCAGAGAAAUUUGGAUUAAUACCUCAUAGUAUCUUUGCCUGGCAUCGGGUGAUUAUUAAAGUUCCAACGGUAAAAGAUGAGCAUGCGUCCUAUUAGCUAGAUGGUAAGGUAACGGCUUACCAUGGCAACGAUAGGUAGGGGUCCUGAGAGGGAGAUCCCCCACACUGGUACUGAGACGCGGACCAGACUCCUACGGGAGGCAGCAGUGAGGAAUAUUGGACAAUGGGCGCAAGCCUGAUCCAGCCAUGCCGCGUGCAGGAAGACGGUCCUAUGGAUUGUAAACUGCUUUUGUACGGGAAGAAACACUCCUACGUGUAGGAGCUUGACGGUACCGUAAGAAUAAGGAUCGGCUAACUCCGUGCCAGCCGCCGCCGUAACAC
rnacentral:rRNA from 1 species